CCUCGCCGGAUGUGCAGGAAGUGGAAAAUGCCACCACAUCAGGAGGUGUUCGUGCUGUUGGGGGAGGAUUGGACACCUACAGUGCCCAGGUCUUAAUUGGGGAGAUCUUGUCCUGCAGGGCAGAAAUAGAGGACAUAAACCUCGCCUUAGGGCAGCUUAAAAAGAAAACCCAAGUGGUGGACCGAAAACUCAAGAAUCUGAUUGAUGUGCUGGGGAGGGUUUAAAAAAAAAUAGAUGUAGACAAGUUUUUUAAAGCAAAAAUAUAU